CGCAUCGAGCGCCGGCAGAUAUUUCUGCGCGUCCGUUUGCGAGAUAAUUGUGGAGAAAUGAAAGAGGACACGGCGGUCGUGCCUUUGGUGGUUUGAGUUGGGCUCCCAUUGGUUUCGGCAGCAGCAGCAGCGGAGCUCAGCGCUGCAAUGGAGCUAUGGCCACGAUGGUCCGCAUAGCGCCCACCUCCACGGCUGCAACUCAAUGGAGCACUUGGUCAGAGCACUCGGCUUCACUGAUGAUCCCCCCCACCACCACCAAACCUGUGGCGAAAAUUCCACGUUCCUGUGACGCGGAUCAGAGACUCCAUACAGCAACCCCGGUGCCUUCACUGCAGGCUUAAAACGCACGCCCGCUGCAAUACGCUGCCGGGAUAACAUCGCGG